UUUUGUACAUUUUGAGACUUCCUGGUUCCAGGACUCACCUGCAGGACGCGGCUCUGCUCGCUCUGCAGUCCGUCCAGGCGCUGGUCCAGAACUCCUUGACCUCUUUUCAGCGAAUCAGCUUCCACCCUCAGGUUGUGGGCGUGGCCUGAUAACACCUUCAGCUCCUCGGCUAGUUUCUGGACCAGUCCUACGUCCUGCCAGUCGUCUGCGUUGUGAUUGGUCAGCGCUCGUAGCACGGAGCUUUGCAGCGCCUCCCACCGCAGGAGGCUCUCACCGUAGUCCGGACAGUUGGGGUCCAGGAAGAUGCUGAUUGGUUCUCCUGCUGUGACACGUGACACUGUCACCAGGGCGCCAGACUCUUUGGAAUUGGUUGAAAUCACAGAUGGACCGUACCAUCUGCAGCUGCCUCUGGAGGAGGAGAUACUGAAAUGGUCCAUUCUGUGGACACCUUUAUGACGCCUAUAAGAGACAGACUCUGACCAAUCACUGUGAUCAUCUUUUACAACAUUCGGGACACAACCAGACUACCACAGUACCACAGUACUACUGCACCUCAGUACCACACUACUACAGUACUACAGUACCACUGUACCACAUAACUACAGUACCACCAUACCACAGUAGUACAGUACCACAGUACCACACUACUACAGUACUACAGUCCUACAGUAAUACAGUACCACAGUACUACAGUACUUCAGUACUACAGUACCACAGUACCACAGUACCUAACUACUACAGUACUACAGUACCACAGUACCACAGUACCAAACUACUACAGCACCACAGUACCACAGUACUACAGUACCACAGUACCUAACUACUACAGUACUACAGUACCACAGUACCACAGUACCAAACUACUACAGUACCACAGUACCACAGUACCUAACUACUACAGUACUACAGUACCACAGUACCACAGUACCAAACUACUACAGCACCACAGUACCACAGUACCACAGUACCUAACUACUACAGUACUAUAGUACCACAGUACCACAGUACCAAACUACUACAGCACCACAGUACCACAGUACUACAGUACCACAGUACAACAGUACCUAACUACUACAGUACUACAGUACCACAGUACAACAGUACCUAACUACUACAGUACUAUAGUACCACAGUACCACAGUACCAAACUACUACAGCACCACAGUACCACAGUACUACAGUACCACAGUACAACAGUACCUAACUACUACAGUACUACAGUACCACAGUACUACAGUACCACAGUACCACAGUACAACAGUACCUAACUACUACAGUACUAUAGUACCACAGUACCACAUAACCAAACUACUACAGCACCACAGUACCACAGUACUACAGUACCACAGUACAACAGUACCUAACUACUACAGUACUACAGUACCACAGUACUACAGUACUACAGUACCACAGUACCACAGUGCCUCAGUUUGAUCCAGACCCCGACCACCAAGGUUCCUCGAGUCUCUCAAACUGCAGCUUGAUGCAACAGCUUUUAGUUAAACUGUUGAUGAGCUCAUUACUUCCUGGGAUCUUGGAGAGAACUCAUGACCUAAGCAGAACCAUGACCAUCACACCUUGGGUUUACCACCCGGCCCCUGACAUCAGAGUGGACAUUGGCUGACACAGCACCUGCUGGGGCUCACCUUGUGUUUGAUUGGCCGCUUGCUGUCCAGCUCUGAACUGCUGUUGUUCAUGAUGGUCCAUCGAUCGUUCACCAUCAUCCUGAAACACAAACAGCACAGAAAACAUGAAGGUGGCUCAUUAUCCUCUUUAUCACGAUGGAGUCUUAGUCCAGGCUCCACCUCCAUCAGAUGCUGCAUUUGAGGACAAGAGGUGUCAUAGUGUCUCGACUGUUCUUUCAGACACGUCCUUCCAUCCCCACAGCCGGAUCCUCCUCAGCUCAACGGAUCCCAGGAUUCAUAGUGCUUCACUGUCAAACCGAUUUUCAAAGAGAUAAUGGCAAACACCAAAAUGUCAGAUGUUUACACUUUUAAAUGUAACAAGCUUCAACUCAACGGAAAAAUCAAAUCCAAUCAAUCAAGGGACAUUAAAACGUUCAUGUUUGAACCUCUUCAAUUAACUCUCAACCUGAACUUCUGAAGUGGACAUUUUGAAUCUCAGAAACCUUAAAGAACCUUUCUGCAGAGAACCAGAGAACCUCCACAUUCCAUCUCCUGAGGUUCUUCGUAAGACGAUGACAGAACACGUGAAUAACUUAACCUGUUUACAGUCUGAAGUAGCGUGCAGCAGCUGGUCGUCAGUUCUCUGAGACUCAGUGUCUGUGUCUGUCAGCAUCACUUUAAUCUUACUGAUUAACACAUAGGGUUAGAGUUAGAGACUUUAAACACCUCAUCACAGUCAAACGUCCCGUUCUAAAACCUCUGAUUCUAAAACAUCAGAUUCUAAAACCUCUGAUUCUAAGACAUCAGAUUCUAAAACCUCUGAUUCUAAAACAUCAGAUUCUAAAACCUCUGAUUCUAAAACCUCAGAAUCUAAAACCUCUGAUUCUAAAACAUCAGAUUCUAAAACCUCUGAUUCUAAAACCUCAGAAUCUAAAACUGUGAUCAGUUCUUAUCUGACCAAAAUUUGAUUUAUUGAGAAUCUAAGCUUAUUCAGACUAAACAGUUAUUUUACAAACAAUUUCAAUGUGCGUAUCGGGUUAAACUUUAUUUCAUAGCUUAACUUGUUGUCUGUGUCUUAUCAUCACAUAAAACAUUCAUCAUUCAACUGUUUAUUAAUGUUAGUUAUAACAUGUUAGAGUUGGUUAUAACGGUUUAGUUAGGGUCAGGGUUAGUUAUAAAGCACUUGGGUCAGUUGACCUGAUAUAAACUGAUUUAUCACCGUAUCACCAAAAAAAACAAAAGGAAAUAUAUAUGUAUAUUCUUGCGCUUUCAAAUAUCAAAAGUUGUUUCAACUUGUUAUAUUUUCAAACACAUGUUUUCUAACAAUCAUAUAUAAAUAAAUCAUUUAAAUCACAUGUAUGAAAUCAAACCUCCAAAACAUUAAGCAUGUUAUUGCUUUUAAACAAAACUCAGACAGGACGUCUGAGUGAUCACUGAUAUCAACGAUCAAUUCAAUUACCUGUCUGUCUUCAGGAUCAACACGACCUCUGACGAUGAUAAAAAUCCAAUUGAAAAUGUAUUUUCAAGUUAAAGCUUCAUGACAAGUGGAGACCAUCUGCUCUGCAGCAGGCGAGACACUGAGACACUGAGACACGGCAGGCUGAUAAUCUGAUCAGAUUUAGUUCACAGUCUGUCACAGUGUUCAGUCACAUGCCAACAACAUGUUAACCCACAAGUUAAAAACAAGCUGACAACAUAUAGUUCAACACGCUAACAUCUCGCUCACACAUGGACUAUGAUCACAACCAGACUUCGUGAUACACAACAUGUCUCCUCACAUCUUCUACCAUCAGGAACUCCUCAGUUCAUCUGCUGCUUCAUCUCCAUCAGACGUGAUGUAUCAACACUUUACACAUGAAGUUACAAACUGGUUCUUCUCAUGUAGUGAAUCCUGUUGUUGUGUUGAUGUGUUGUCUUGUUGUUGUGUUCAGUUCCAUCAGCAUGUGUGUGUCCUGGGAGAGGAUCCUCACAUGGGACUGAGCUUCAUCACUGAUCACUAAGUUUCUGUUUGACUCGUGUUGAGUUAAGAACAGGAAGUUGAUCCUUCUGAACAUCUAUCCAGCUUCAUCUUGGUCUUUAUGAGUUAGGGGAGGAAGGACCCUUCCUCUUCCUUUGAUUAUUUUUUACCUCCAGUUUCCAUAGUUUGAAAAAUCUUGAUUAUUUGCAUUUGAUUUCAUUUACAUUUUGAAAAUAAAGUUUACCGUCUGAUUGAACUCAA